AGUGGGAUAGCUGGGCCAAAUGGUGGUUCCAUUUCAAAUUUUUCGAGGAAUCUCCAUACUGCUUUCCAUAGUGGUUGCACCAAUUUGCAUUCCCACCAGCAAU
rnacentral:pre_miRNA from 1 species